GACGAACGCUGGCGGCGUGCUUAACACAUGCAAGUCGAACGCUGAAGCUCAGCUUGCUGGGUGGAUGAGUGGCGAACGGGUGAGUAACACGUGAGUAACCUGCCCUCUUCUUUGGGAUAACGCCCGGAAACGGGUGCUAAUACUGGAUAUUCACUGAUUCUCGCAUGGGGGUUGGUGGAAAGGUUUUUUCUGGUGGGGGAUGGGCUCGCGGCCUAUCAGCUUGUUGGUGGGGUGAUGGCCUACCAAGGCUUUGACGGGUAGCCGGCCUGAGAGGGUGACCGGUCACAUUGGGACUACGAUACGGCCCAGACUCCUACGGGAGGCAGCAGUGGGGAAUAUUGCACAAUGGGCGAAAGCCUGAUGCAGCGACGCCGCGUGAGGGAUGGAGGCCUUCGGGUUGUAAACCUCUUUCGCUCAUGGUCAAGCCGCAGCUUUGGGUUGUGGUGAGGGUAGUGGGUAAAGAAGCGCCGGCUAACUACGUG
rnacentral:rRNA from 1 species